GACGAACGCUGGCGGCGUGCUUAACACAUGCAAGUCGAACGGAAAGGCCCUGCUUUUGUGGGGUGCUCGAGUGGCGAACGGGUGAGUAACACGUGAGUAACCUGCCCUUGACUUUGGGAUAACUUCAGGAAACUGGGGCUAAUACCGGAUAGGAGCUCCUGCUGCAUGGUGGGGGUUGGAAAGUUUCGGCGGUUGGGGAUGGACUCGCGGCUUAUCAGCUUGUUGGUGGGGUAGUGGCUUACCAAGGCUUUGACGGGUAGCCGGCCUGAGAGGUUGACCGGCCACAUUGGUACUGAGAUACGGCCCAGACUCCUACGGGAGGCAGCGGUGGGGAAUAUUGCACAGUGGGCGGAAGCCUGAUGCAGCAACGCCGCGUGCGGGAUGACGGCCUUCGGGUUGUAAACCGCUUUGGCCUGUAACGAAGCGUGAGUGACGGUAAUGGGUAAAGAAGCACCGGCUAACUACGUG
rnacentral:rRNA from 1 species